rnacentral:rRNA from 1 species
UACGGAGGAUGCAAGCGUUAUCCGGAUUCAUUGGGUUUAAAGGGUGCGUAGGCGGAAUGGUAAGUCAGUGGUGAAAUCCCUCGGCUCAACCGAGGAACUGCCAUUGAUACUGUCAUUCUUGAGUACAGUUGAGGUGGGUGGAAUGUAUCAUGUAGCGGUGAAAUGCUUAGAUAUGAUACAGAACACCGAUAGCGAAGGCAACCUACCAAGCUGUAACUGACGCUAAUGCACGAAAGCGUGGGGAUCAAACAGG